GAUGAACGCUGGCUGUGUGCGUAAUACAUGCAUGUCGAGCGAAGCACUUUUGUGCUUAGCGGCGAAUGGGUGAGUAACACGUACUUAACCUACCCUCAAGAUUGGGACAACACUUGGAAACGAGUGCUAAUACCAAAUACGUAUUUUUAUCGCAUGAUAGAUAUAUAAAAGGAGCUUCGGCUUCACUAGAGGAUGGGAGUGCGCUACAUUAGUUAGUUGGUAGGGUAAUGGCCUACCAAGACUAUGAUGUAUAGCGGGGCCGAGAGGCUGAUCCGCCACACUGGGACUGAGAUACGGCCCAGACUCCUACGGGAGGCAGCAGUAGGGAAUUUUCCACAAUGAACGAAAGUUUGAUGGAGCGACACAGCGUGCAGGAUGAAGGUCUUCGGAUUGUAAACUGCUAUUAUAAGAGAAGAAAAACCCUGGUAGGUAAUGACCAGGACUUGACGGUACCUUAUCGGAAAGCGACGGCUAACUAUGUGCCAGCAGCCGCGGUAAUACAUAGGUCGCAAGCGUUAUCCGGAAUUAUUGGGCGUAAAGAGUUCGUAGGUGGUUUUGUAAGUCUGAAGUUAAAUACCGGGGCUCAACCCCGGCCCGCUUUGGAUACUGCAAAACUAGAGUAAUAGAGAGGUUAGUGGAACUCCAAGUGAAGCGGUGGAAUGCGUAGAUAUUUGGAAGAACACCAAUGGCGAAGGCAACUAACUGGAUAUUAACUGACACUGAGGAACGAAAGCGUGGGUAGCAAACAGG
rnacentral:rRNA from 1 species